rnacentral:rRNA from 1 species
GACGAACGCUGGCGGCGUGCUUAACACAUGCAAGUCGAACGAAGUGGCGAACGGGUGAGUAACGCGUAAUCAACCUGCCCUUCAGAGGGGGAAAACAGUUGGAAACGACUGCUAAUACCGCAUACUGAAGGAGGGGAUUGCGUCUGAUUAGCUAGGUGGAGGGGUAACGGCCCACCAAGGCGAUGAGAAGUCGCCGGGCUGACAGGAUGAACCGCCCAAUUGGGACUGAGGCCAGGCCCCGACUCCUUCGGGAGGCAGCAGUGGGGAAUCUUCCGCAAUGGGCGAAAGUCUGACUGAUCACCGCCGCGUUGGUGAUGACGGCCUUCGGGUUGUAAAGCUCUGUUAAUCGGGACGCGGUACCGGAAUAGAAAGCCACGGCUAACUACGUGCCAGCCGCCGCGGUAAUUC